GCUGAAGAGAGGAGCUUGCUCUUCUUGGAUGAGUUGCGAACGGGUGAGUAACGCGUAGGUAACCUGCCUUGUAGCGGGGGAUAACUAUUGGAAACGAUAGCUAAUACCGCAUAACAAUGGAUGACACAUGUCAUUUAUUUGAAAGGGGCAAUUGCUCCACUACAAGAUGGACCUGCGUUGUAUUAGCUAGUAGGUGAGGUAACGGCUCACCUAGGCGACGAUACAUAGCCGACCUGAGAGGGUGAUCGGCCACACUGGGACUGAGACACGGCCCAGACUCCUACGGGAGGCAGCAGUAGGGAAUCUUCGGCAAUGGGGGCAACCCUGACCGAGCAACGCCGCGUGAGUGAAGAAGGUUUUCGGAUCGUAAAGCUCUGUUGUAAGUCAAGAACGAGUGUGAGAGUGGAAAGUUCACACUGUGACGGUAGCUUACCAGAAAGGGACGGCUAACUACGUGCCAGCAGCCGCGGUAAUACGUAGGUCCCGAGCGUUGUCCGGAUUUAUUGGGCGUAAAGCGAGCGCAGGCGGUUUGAUAAGUCUGAAGUUAAAGGCUGUGGCUCAACCAUAGUUCGCUUUGGAAACUGUCAAACUUGAGUGCAGAAGGGGAGAGUGGAAUUCCAUGUGUAGCGGUGAAAUGCGUAGAUAUAUGGAGGAACACCGGUGGCGAAAGCGGCUCUCUGGUCUG
rnacentral:rRNA from 1 species